rnacentral:ncRNA from 1 species
GGUUUGUUCGUGAAUUGCAAUCAUCAUAUGGGCGGGGGUGAAUCCUUUGCAGACGACUUGAAUGGGAACGGCGUACUGUAAGCAGUAGAGUAGCCUUGUUGCUACGAUCUGCUGAGGUUAAGCGCUUGUUCUAUAGAUUUGU